UUCAGAAUUUACACAUGUAACCCCAUGAGGUAGGUCCAUACUCAUUGAAAAUUUCAAUCACCAUUGAAACGCUAGUUUAUGCAAGCAAGGUGCCGGCGGGCCCAACCUGUGAAGAAAAUGUGCAAGGCCUGGAGAGAAAGGGAUUAGGUAUUUCUACGCCAACCAGUGGAGGUCAGUGUUGAGUCACUGAUCUCCUGUACUAACUGCAUGCAGAAGUUACCACAGUAGACAAGCAGAAGUUACCUUGCUCCUAGAAGAAAGAGAAAAGACACUCCAAGAUGAAAACUAUGGGGCUGAGACACACGGCGAAGCGUAAAGAGCAGCUCUGUGCUGCUGAAGGAUGAUUGCAGGGCGUAGCCUCACGCUUGGGAGCUGCCUAGUGACAAGCUGUGUGGAAGGCUGAGCGUGUACCCAGAGCUGGCCCUGUCUUUUAAACUGACUACUUCCUGGAAGCUCUCUCAGCUGAGACAUUCUGGGAUCCCAAGAGAGCAUGCUGAUCUCUUCAUUAUCUCAGUUAAGCUGGGACACGGACAAAGUGAAAUAGAGAAGACCAUCAGCAAACAGCACAGAACCGUGAAACUGAAUACACGAAUCCAGACAGGGACAAGACAAUUCCUUCAUUCUUCAACCACCCCUCUGUUACACCAUGAACUCCAUGAACACCAUGAAGUCAUCGUCAUUUUCCAAAGCCGAAAACAGCGUGACCCAGAAGCGGGGCUGGACACAGGAGGCUCUCCUAGGCAGGAAUAAACACUCACGAAACAUUGACCAAAUGAGUUCAAGAAUGUUCCCGAUGGGAGGGGACUGUGGUUCAUUCUUACAACUCUCUUGUGUGCCCCCCUUAGAUUCUGGCAGAUUUGGGGGUACAAUCAGGGUUCAUUCAAUGAGGGAAUGAAAUAGUAAUAACAACAAAACAGUAAUAACAAGAAAGAAAAAUGUGCCAUCAGAGGGAUGUUCAGUGUCCUCGGCAUUUUCCAAACGGAAGUGAAUUUGCAUCUCUGACUGUUUUCCAUAGUUAUGUGUCUAAAGAUCUGAGCAAGACAAACCCCUUUAAUCUUUUCAUUAUCUUUUCCUGCCCUGAGAGUAAAUAAUUGCUACCGAAUCCAAGUCCUAAGAAAACACACAAAUACUUUUUAGAUAUGACUAAGAAGAAAGGAACACCUACUCUUUCUCCAUCGCCCAUUCCUACUUCAAAAUGCUUUCUGAUUCUCUUAUUAAAAUGCAAAAACUUGCAAAGAAAAAACUGUUUCUUUAAGUAUUGCUCAGUGAGUAAA